UCAAACUUGGUCAUUUAGAGGAAGUAAAAGUCGUAACAAGGUUUCCGUAGGUGAACCUGCGGAAGGAUCAUUACUGAAUUCAAUGCUGAGAUUGUCGCUGGCUCCUACAUGGGCAUGUGCACAUCUCAGUUAUCCAAAUUCUUACACCUCUGUGCACCUUUCAUGGGAUGAGUGCUUGGCUGAUUGGUGUUCGCACUGACAGCUGUUCAUUCUGUCUCAUGUUUUUACAUCUACACAUUUUAGUUCUAGAAUGUUAUACUGCGUUGAACGCAUUAUAUACAACUUUCAGCAACGGAUCUCUUGGCUCUCGCAUCGAUGAAGAACGCAGC
rnacentral:misc_RNA from 1 species